UGGUGGAUGAAAACCAAAGCAAGAGAGGAAGAGGCUGUGAAGGAUAUACCCCCAAUGACCUAACUGCCUCCCCAAGGCUCGUCCACAUCCCUACCGUGGUGCCUUUGGUGGGAUGGAGCCUAGAGCAUUUUGGACAAUGAAAACACAAGUCAUAACACAAGAUCAACGGCGAAACAAAAUUACCUUUCCAAGAGAUACAAGCAGGAAGACAGAAGGUGGGGGCUGAUUCGGACGGAGUCACUUCCUGGAAGAGGAAGCUCAGAGCUGAGUUUGGACCACAGGAGGACUCAGGAAGACUCACAUGAAGUAGAGGGAACAGGUUAACGUUAAGCACAUGAUUAAGGAAAAGGAAUCUUAAUUACGGACGAACGGGAGGCAGAAAGAGAGAAGUUUCAGAUUUGCCUGACCUCCUAUGCUGUUGAAAUGACAACCAAAACUGGCAAAAUCCUUGAGAUUAUCUCAGAGGAGAUUCCUGAAGGAAAAGGAGACAGUUAACUACCCCGAGGGCUGAUGAGCUUGGUCUCUUGGGAGAAGAGCUCUAAAGCCAGGAACCAACGUCCUUCUCAGAGCUAUCCUACCUUACAGGUCCCUGGAUUGUCACAGCUGAGAGGCUAUGUUCCAGAUGCAAAAAGCAAUGCCCUGCCAGUGCUUGCUACCACACGGAUGGACGGGCCAUUAAAAACAUGGUCCUCACGCCCUCGUUAGCCAGUUCAAGAGGCAAGACACGGAAAAACUACAGGCUGCAUGAUUUAACUUGUAGAAUUUGCCAGAAUUCCCCCCAGACAAAUCCCCUGAGAAAGAAAGGACAAGUCUGGGGGGCUUGCAGGGAGCGG
rnacentral:lncRNA from 1 species